GAGAGGAUUAGUUCAUUUCUAAAGAAGUUAGAGUGUGUAAACCAAAAAGGUGUUUUUUCUUUAAAUUAGUAUUUGUGAUUCUGAGAAGUUGUUCUCAAGAUAGGAAGAGUUAUUUAUAUUGUGUUGUUGAAUCCAUUAUAAUUAAACUUAUGUUGAAGGGCAUGCAGCUUUCAUUUCAAAUCUAAUCAGAGCCAAUGGUGAAACUGAUCUGACGAUCAAAAUACUAUAUUUGUGGAGUUGAUCACACUGAUCUCCACUGUGCAAAAGACGAAUUUGGGAUCACCAAGUAUUCAUUUCUUCUCGGGCAUGAAAUUGUUGGAGAAAUAACCCAUAUUGGAGCCAAAGUAAACAAAUUUAAAGUGGGUGACAAAGAGGUGUGGGUGGUUUAAUCGGAUCAUGGAGAAAAUGUGAAUAUUGCACCCAACAUUUAAAAAUUAUUGUUCAUCAUCAAUUAUGACUUUCAAUGAUAAUGGUGGAUACUCCAACAAGAUUGUGGUUGAUGAGCAUUUUGCAGUUUUAAUACCAAAUCACAUUCAAUUGGAUCGGACUGCCCCAUUACUUUAUGGGAAAAUUUGAAAAAAAUAAGACGUUUUAAUGAAUUUAUUUAAAAAAUAAGUUUCGUUCAAACUUUAUUUUCUAAUCCUUUGGUUA